CAGUAGCCACGGUAAUACGAAGGGUGCAAGCGUUACUCGGAAUUACUGGGCGUAAAGCGUGCGUAGGUGGUGGUUUAAGUCCGUUGUGAAAGCCCUGGGCUCAACCUGGGAAUUGCAGUGGAUACUGGGUCACUAGAGUGUGGUAGAGGAUAGUGGAAUUUCCGGUGUAGCAGUGAAAUGCGUAGAGAUCGGGAGGAACAUCAGUGGCGAAGGCGGCCAUCUGGGACAACACUGACGCUGAGGCACGAAAGCGUGGGGAGCAAACAGGAUUAGAUACCCGUGUAGUCCCUGUCUCUUAUAC
rnacentral:rRNA from 1 species